CUUGCCAUCACUGUUCCCUCUAAGCUGCGCGCGUGCGCAAUUGCGCACUGCUGACACGGUCUCCGCGCACAGAAAAUCUGCGCUGCGCACAAAAAAAAAAUCCAACCUAAAUUGUAAAUAAAAUAAACACGUAACAAUUCAUUCUGUGCUAUUUUUCAGUGUGAGUCAGUGAGUGACCGGUGACUGGCUGCUGCAGCCAAUGAUGCGAUUCACAUACGUAUUUACCAUAGACUGUAUAUAAUGGUAUUUACGCAGCUAAUCAACGUCAGGCGUCCUUAUGUGCAGCCACCGUUGUUCUCAUAGAUAUGAAUGAGUAGAUAGGACACGCCCCUUUGAGCUGCGUGCUACAGCGAGGCUAAGCUAGUGGGGAGCAAAGUUUCAGUGCAUUCCGUUGAUGUAGACGGCGUGAAAACGGAAACAACAAGUAUGCCGUCUCACUGUGCUGCAUACAGUUACACACUGCGUCGUACGAUUGAGACAAGGAAACUUGGAAUGACUUUUCAGAGGUUUCCCAGAGACUAUGGGUUGAGGAGGAAUUGGAAGUUUUUCGGCUUAGACCUGGUGUCAUUCCAUCAGUGUUAAACUUCCCGGCUCAUCUUGGAAGAGUACGUGCCAGAAAGACCACGACCAAGCAGCCUUGAGAUCUUAGGCAGCGUCUCCCUGAGACAUCCACCAACCACUGGAACACAUCUCCAAAGUUCUGCUGGGCCAGCUCAACUUCCCCUCAGAAGAAGUGCUGCCACCUGCCAGAUGAAGGAGCCUUUUGAGAGGCAGCUGGCAUCGUGAUUGGACUGUACUUUGGUCUGUUCCAAUCCAGCUUCAGCUCCAGAGACGGCAGGCGGGACGAGUCAACGGAGGCCGGGUGGAUGAAGGCAUGCAGCUGAGUACAAUCCAGAAAACAACAGAGGAGGAGUGCAGCGGCCCAGAGCCAGAACAAACAGAGUAGCAUCAUAUGUCUCUUAGAAAACAUCAUAGUAUAGCCUUUGGUAUGAAAAAACGCCAUCAUAUACAUCAUAUAUUGUACAAAUAACAAGUCAAAGGAAAGAGACAUACAUUGUAGAAUUGUAGUAAUUGUGGACUGACUGAUUUACUGAUUAUCAGUAUUUUAUUUUUUACUGAUUUACGAUAAUAAAUACAUUUAAAAAUGGCGCUACUUUGGCUCUGAACCUUUACCUGUGGUCAGUCUGUCUUCUGGAGUGAUUUGAUUGGUUAUACGUCACGAAUAAAACUCCUUUAACUUAACAUCUGUAAACAAAACAAAAACGUAUCAACAAAGUUUUCUGUUAGAAUUUGUGUUCUUCUAAGUUUAACUCCAAGAUUUUAAAUACUUUCAUUUACUGCAAAUGAAUAUCUACUCCAAAUGUCUCACUAAUAAUCAUUAUCAGCCUUAAAAACCCACAAAACACCCCUCUAUACUCGACCACACUUAGUACAGUCCGGUUCCCCCUUCUAUAAAUCUGCUUGGAAUCGUCCACUUCCUGUUUGUCAAAGUGGCCUUCUACCUGGACAGGUUUUGUUGGAGCUCAUGCAACAAACAUUUUGGGUAACUGCACUUUAAUAUGGAUGGAUGACACUGAAUUAGAGUCUGU